UGUACUGUAUUCGCCUUUCUUCUUGUGAUGACGUGAGAUGAUACAAUGCCUACGAGAUGAGGUGAACUGAGAAGAAUGACGAAGGCAUUGUGACACAACAUUAGGCUACUAUUGACCUUUUGAGGAUACAUGAGAAGGAGGAUCAUCUGCUGCAGGGGCCUGUUCUCAGACUAUGCUUACACAGGAGUCCUAACUGACCAGGAAGGACAGUCGCUCUCACCUGCAGUUCCAGCACUGGAAUGGUCACCAAGGGUCUUCAAAUCUAAAGGAACUGUACUUGACAUACUACACUUAAGCACCACCACCCAAGGACCCUGAUUCACAUCUGGACCUGCUUUAAAUGAUGAGAUUCUGGACUUCAUGUUAAUGCUGUAAUGGAUGAAACUUUCGGAGGUCUUGGGAGGAGGUGAUUGCAUUUUGCACAUAGGAGGUAUGUAAAUAAUUUUCGGCUAGAGUAUGUACCCCAAUGGUUUUAAAUUACGUUCACAAAUUCUUCCCUUCAAAGAUGGAGCUUAGUUACCUUCCCCGUGAUACGUGGGCUGGAUUUAGUGGCUCACUUCUAAUGAACAGAAUAUUGUGGAAACAAAAGACUGAAAUGUCUGAGACUAGGUCACAAAAGGCAUUGCAGCAUCCUUGCUCACUCUAUUGCAUCACUCCCUCUAGAAGCGAGCUAGUCACGUCUCAAGAACACUUGGGUAGACCAGUAGAGAGGCCCACAGGGAGGAACUGAGGCUUUCUCCCAACAGCCAGCAAAGAACUGGAGUUUUCCUGUCAAGCCAAGUAAGCAAGCC